rnacentral:tmRNA from 1 species
GGGGGUGAACUGGUUUCGACUCUGAGGGUUGAGGCGACGGCAGCGAGCCGAGGUCCCCGGAGUCCUCGCUAAAGAGCCGGGACAACCAACAAGUGCCGAGCCUGAACUCGCACUGGCCGCCUAACUAGUCGGCCCGUCCGCCCGGAGGGUGCCCCCCUCGCCGGAGCCGGGCGUCGCAAUGGGGGAUGCCCCCGCCGGGGUGCCGUGACCGGCGGGUCAAGCCGACUGCGGCUGGGGUGGCGGGAGACGCGCCGGUAGCGUCCCGUCACCCGAGAACCAGCUAUCGGCUGCGCUCGGAGACGCCGGCGUUGAAACUCAGAGGACCGGGGUUCGACUCCCCGCACCUCCACCG